UGUUCUGUGGCGAAGUUGGUUAACGCUCCCUGCGUAGCGAAUCGAGAAGGCGUGUGUUCAAAUCCCAUCAGAACUA
rfam:Aedes albopictus isolate Foshan contig51356, whole genome shotgun sequence.